rnacentral:rRNA from 1 species
ACACUCCUGCGGGAGGCAGCAGUGGGGAAUUUUGGACAAUGGGCGCAAGCCUGAUCCAGCCAUGCCGCGUGCGGGAAGAAGGCCUUCGGGUUGUAAACCGCUUUUGUCAGGGAAGAAAAGGUUCUGGCUAAUACCUGGGACUCAUGACGGUACCUGAAGAAUAAGCACCGGCUAACUACGUGCCAGCAGCCGCGGUAAUACGUAGGGUGCAAGCGUUAAUCGGAAUUACUGGGCGUAAAGCGUGCGCAGGCGGUUAUGCAAGACAGAGGUGAAAUCCCCGGGCUCAACCUGGGAACUGCCUUUGUGACUGCAUGGCUAGAGUACGGUAGAGGGGGAUGGAAUUCCGCGUGUAGCAGUGAAAUGCGUAGAUAUGCGGAGGAACACCGAUGGCGAAGGCAAUCCCCUGGACCUGUACUGACGCUCAUGCACGAAAGCGUGGGGAGCAAACAGGAUUAGAUACCCCGGUAGUCCCAU